CUUGAUGGACCCCAGCCACAGCGGCUGCCCGUCGGGCCGGCCCUGCCCGUAGGUGGCGAGCAGUGCCUGCGCCUC
rnacentral:antisense_RNA from 1 species